CUGUGCUGCUGGCCUGGGGUUGUGGUUGAGGCCGGGUCUCCGCUCCUGUGCCCGGGAAGAUGGUGCUAGGUGGUUGCCCGGUUAGUUACUUACUUCUGUGCGGCCAGGCGGCUUUGCUGCUGGGGAAUUUACUUCUGCUGCAUUGUGUGUCUCGGAGCCACUCGCAAAAUGCGACCGCUGAGCCUGAGCUCACAUCCGCUGGCGCCGCCCAGCCGGAGGGCCCCGGGGGUGCUGCGAGCUGGGAAUAUGGCGACCCCCACUCUCCGGUCAUCCUCUGCUCUUACCUAAUCACGCCAUUUUUUAACAUCUCUUUUUGAUCAAACAAGAAAAGGCAUUUGGGAAAUGCAAAGAGGACUGAGAAUACUUUGGCUUAAAUUUUGCCCCCAGAAUCUUGUUGUUUGCCUACUGAAGAGAUGAAACCAUGGCAGAAGUAGAAUCCUUAUAGAAACAGGACCAGAAACACCUCCCUUCUCCAACAAAAGACCUGAUGAAUUUAUAGAAUGUGAAGACCCAGUGGAUCAUGUUGGAAAUGCAACUGCAUCCCAGGAACUUGGUUAUGGUUGUCUCAAGUUCGGCGGUCAGGCCUACAGCGACGUGGAACACACUUCAGUCCAGUGCCAUGCCUUAGAUGGAAUUGAGUGUGCCAGUCCUAGGACCUUUCUACGAGAAAAUAAACCUUGUAUAAAGUAUACCGGACACUACUUCAUAACCACUUUACUCUACUCCUUCUUCCUGGGAUG
rnacentral:lncRNA from 1 species